AUUGAACGCUGGCGGCAGGCCUAACACAUGCAAGUCGAGCGGAUGAAGGGAGCUUGCUCCUGGAUUCAGCGGCGGACGGGUGAGUAAUGCCUAGGAAUCUGCCUGGUAGUGGGGGAUAACGUCCGGAAACGGGCGCUAAUACCGCAUACGUCCUGAGGGAGAAAGUGGGGGAUCUUCGGACCUCACGCUAUCAGAUGAGCCUAGGUCGGAUUAGCUAGUUGGUGGGGUAAAGGCCUACCAAGGCGACGAUCCGUAACUGGUCUGAGAGGAUGAUCAGUCCCACUGGAACUGAGACACGGUCCAGACUCCUACGGGAAGCAGCAGUUGGGAAUAUUUGACAAUUGGCGGAAGCCUGGUCCAGCCAUGCCGCGUGUGUGAAGAAGGUCUUCGGAUUUUAAAGCACUUUUAGUUGGGAGGAAAGGCAGUAAGUUAAUACCUUGCUGUUUUGACGUUACCAACAGAAUAAGCACCGGCUAACUUCGUG
rnacentral:rRNA from 1 species